AAAUUGAAGAGUUUGAUCAUGGCUCAGAUUGAACGCUGGCGGCAGGCCUAACACAUGCAAGUCGAACGGUAACAGGAAGCAGCUUGCUGCUUUGCUGACGAGUGGCGGACGGGUGAGUAAUGUCUGGGAAACUGCCUGAUGGAGGGGGAUAACUACUGGAAACGGUGGCACUGGAAACGGUGGC
rnacentral:rRNA from 1 species